ACCCCCGGCCCCUAGCAUCGCUCUCUCUCUCUCGUCGAUCGUCUCCAGUCGAUGCCCGCCAGGAAACUCACCCUUGAUUCUUGUGCUUUUGGGUCGUCGAUUGGUGCGAGUCUGCGAGAGUCUUGACCUUUUCGGUGUCCUUUUAACCGAUCGCAGCAGCAAUGGAGGAAACUCGUCCUUGAUUCUUGUGUUCUUGGUUGGGCCGUCUAUUGGUGCGAGAAACUUGACCUUUUCGGUAUCUUUUAACCGAUCGCAGCAGCAAUCGGUAUCUUUAACCGAUUGCAGCAGCAAUGGAGGUGAGGUUUCGUCCAUAUGAUCGAAUCUGUAAUGAAGGUGAGGGUCGAGGCAUCUGAUCGAAGCAGCAAUGAAGGUGAGGUUCGACUGACUCGCCUCAUCAGCGUGCAAGAAUCGGUCACUACAAGAAAACUGCUAAGCUCCGACGCUGUUCGGCCUGCGACGUCGGUGCCCCCAGGCGAAAUGACAACGUGACGAUCCUCCCGUUGCCGAGCGUACAAGCACCAACGGUUUCGACGGCUAGAAACAAUCCGCGACUGAGGUUCUUGGUGUCGAACAUCCCAAAUUCAGGCAUCGAAACUCUUAAACUACGCCGUCCACGGAAUAACCACGCAUCGAGACAGAAGUCCGACAGUUGAUGCCUCCGUUGGUGGCUGCUCAUUUCAUCUCCGAUGGUAUGGGUGGCGCUGUAGUCCGAAUUGUCACCUCCGACGCAUCAAUCCGCCAACGGAGCUCAUAAACCUAAAAUUAAAUGCGUCAAUUUGGCGUCGGAGUCCUUCCUUAACGCCCUUUGACGCAGUUGGGUAAGUCGACCUACUGAGAAUGUCAUUGACGGGAGCGAUCAACGAUGCGCCGACGACAAUGCCGUAAACCACCGACUUGUUGAUGAUUGCGUCGAAAUCUAGUUUUCUCACUUUCCCGGCCAUUUUUUCUGCGCUUAAAGGGCUUGGUCAUUGCUGCAACAGUUGGUGUAUGCGUGAGCACGCACUGGAUCGUUUGUUUGCCCUUACGUUGCGUCUGUAUUAUGUUUCAAAUGUAGAAACUAUUGAAUACAACAUUAGCUUCACCAUAUGGGAUCUGGGUGGCCUGGACAAGGUAAUGUUGAUAAUAAUGAAACUGCACAGCAAUAUCGAAGCUGGUGUGAUACUGCAUGUUGCUCAAGCUUUUAUCAACAAGAACUAUCACACAACAGUAGUAUGCCAAGAAUCUUAAUAGCCUUCUUUUACGGCUGUAGCCACACUUUUUGCCCAGACUUUGAGAUGGGCCUUCAUGUGGGGCUCCGACCUUGGUGGCGGUGGAAUCCUCAGCGGUAACAACUCCCUUCUCUGAACCAGCCAUGCCUCUGAGAGGUAUGGCCUUCUGACGUUCUCCGUAUCCUCUGGUUCUUGGCAGAAUCUCCUCCUUAGCCCUGGUAUCACGGUCGCCAUGUCCGGAGUGGCGUUCUGCUCGUCGAACACGAAGCCGAGGUCCGCAAACCCCUUCACUUCCUCAAACUCCAGAUCGCUCAAGCUCUUGAUUCUUCGGUGCCUUCUUCCAGCAACCGGCUCACUUCUGGAGAAUUGGCGUGUUUUGGACUGCUUCGGCCGAGGAAUGCCUCCUGGAGUUACAAAUGAACACAUCCGAUUUCGAAGUUAGUGCUUGUUACCUUCAUGGAUGAACAGCCCCGAUUCUCGAGCUUUGGUGGAAGAUAAUGUUUCAGCUUGUCUGGUGCAGCGUCUCCUCCAUGACUUCUAUCCUUCUCUCCAACGAGGGGCGGCAGCGAAGGGCUUCUUAAUAGACAUGGACGGCGAAGGAUUGCCUCCGGAGUGCCUUCUAGGUUGCCAUGAAUGUUGGCACCGCCUACUUCUUCAGAUGCCUGAUUUGCAUUGGCCUCAGUCGAAUUCAGCAUCGCAGCGGCUCUGGAAGGACACGACAAAACACCGGCUGAGGAAGGGACGACGACUAGUUUCAGUGCAUUUUUGUAGAACCAUUGCUCGUCUAAGCACUCUAUGACAGGGAGGUCGAUUCCCUCUUCUCUCGAUUCUGAAUUUAACAGACCUUCUUCUA